rnacentral:rRNA from 1 species
CCUACGGGAGGCAGCAGUGGGGAAUAUUUGGCAAUGGGCGCAAGCCUGACCCAGCAACGCCGCGUGAAGGAAGAAGGCUUUCGGGUUGUAAACUUCUUUUGACAGGGAAGAGUAGAAGACGGUACCUGUCGAAUAAGCCCCGGCUAACUACGUUCCAGCAACCCCCGUAAUACGUAGGUGGCAAGCGUUGUCCGGAUCUACUGGGUGGAAAGGGCGUGUAGCCGGGUUGACAAGUCAGAUGUGAAAUCCUGCGGCUUAACCGCAGAACUGCAUUUGAAACUGUUGAUCUUGAGUACUGGAGAGGCAGACGGAAUUCCUAGUGUAGCGGUGAAAUGCGUAGAUAUUAGGAGGAACACCAGUGGCGAAGGCGGUCUGCUGGACAGCAACUGACGGUGAGGCGCGAAAGCGUGGGGAGCAAACAGGAUUAGAUACCCUUGUAGUC